rnacentral:rRNA from 1 species
AUACGGAGGGUGCAAGCGUUACUCGGAAUCACUGGGCGUAAAGCGCGCGCAGGCGGCUAUUUAAGUUGGAUGUGAAAGCCUACGGCUCAACCGUAGAACUGCAUCCAAAACUAUUUAGCUAGAGUGUGGGAGAGGAGGAUGGAAUUAGUUGUGUAGGGGUAAAAUCCGUAGAGAUAACUAGGAAUACCAAAAGCGAAGGCAAUCUUCUGGAACACUACUGACGCUGAGGCGCGAAAGCGUGGGGAGCAAACAGGAUUAGAAACCCUAGUAGUCC